GAUGAAGAACGUAGCGAAAUGCGAUACUUGGUGUGAAUUGCAGAAUCCCGUGAACCAUCGAGUCUUUGAACGCAAGUUGCGCCCGAAGCCAUUAGGCCGAGGGCACGCCUGCCUGGGCGUCACACGUCGUUGCCCCCCCAUCUACUCCUUCGGGAUUGCGGGGGGCAGAUGAUGGCCUCCCGUGCGCCACGCCGCGCGGUUGGCAUAAAUGCCAAGUCCUCGGCGACGCACGCCACGACAAUCGGUGGUUGCGAAACCUCGGUUGCCCGUCGUGUGCGGUCGUCGCGCAUCGAGGGCUCGAAAAAAUUGCCGGGUUCCGGCUCGGCUUUCAACGCGACCCCAGGUCAGGCGGGGUUACCCGCUGAAUUUAAGCAUAUCAAUAAGCGGAGGA
rnacentral:misc_RNA from 1 species